GAUGAAGAACGUAGCGAAAUGCGAUAAGUAGUGUGAAUUGCAGAAUUCAGUGAAUCAUCGAAUCUUUGAACGCACAUUGCGCCCCUUGGUAUCCCGAGGGGCAUGCCUGUUCGAGCGUCAUUUCACCACUCAAGCCUGGCUUGGUGUUGGGCGACGUCCUCUUUGGGGACGCGCCUCGAAACGCUCGGCGGCGUGGCACCGGCUUUAAGCGUAGCAGAAUCUUUCGCUUUGGAAGUCGGGGCCCCGUCUGCCGGAGACCUGCUCGCAAGGUUGACCUCGGAUCAGGCAGGGAUACCCGCUGAACUUAAGCAUAUCAAUAAGCGGAGGA
rnacentral:misc_RNA from 1 species